GGCUGGGUUGGAAUCAGGGGUGGGAGGAUCCCUGCCCAUAAAACCAGUGCUCCCAGUGCUCCCGGUGCUCCCGGCCCCACAAGCAGCACCCAUGGGUGCCCUCAGGACCCUCGGGCUCCUGCUCGUCCUGCUCGGCGCCGCCCGCAGCCUCCCGGUGCCCGUCACGGUCCCGGUCCCAGCCACGGCUCCGGUGCCCGUGAGCAUCCCGAACACGAAGCCCCCCCCGACGGCAGCGCCGGCCCCGAGCCCCAGCCCCACAGCUGCGGAGGGGCUGGAGCCGGAGCUGCGGGACCUGCUGGGGCCCCCCCUGCUCCCCAACCUGCCCCUGCCUGCGCCCCACAGCCUGACCCACGCCUUGGCCCAUAGCCCGACCCAUAGCCCGACCCAUAGCCAGCCCCAUAACCUGACCUCCUCCUGGGCUUAAAGCGGAGCCUUUGGGGGGUGUUGGGGACCCCGGGUCCUUGGGAUCAGCUGGGGAGGGACCCAGGGGUCACCAACAUAUCCCCCCCCCCCGCAAAGUGUCCCCAAACCAACGCACACCCGGUUUCUAUAGGGGUAGAUCUAUAGGGUGAGGUCUAUGGGGGGUCUAUAGGGGCGGGUCUAUAUAGGGGACAGGUUUAGAGGGGUUAGGUCUAUAGGGGCAGGUCUAUAAGGGCAAGUCUAUAGGGUCAGAUCUAUAUAGGGAGCGGGUUAAUAGAGCUUAGGUCUAUAGGGGUUAGGUCUAUAAGGGCAGGUCUAUAGAUGCCGGCUCUAUAGGGCAGCUAUAGGUGCAGGUUUUAUAGGACAGCUCCAUAGGGGCAGGUUCUAUAGGGCAGGUUCUAUAGGGCAAAGCUCUAUCUCUAGGGCCGGGCGGGGCUCUGACUCAUGGGCAGCUGCUGCCACGUCCCCCCCCGACCUUCCAGCCCAGCCGGUUCCAGCCCUGCCGGUGCCCAUAAGAGCUCCCAUUGCUCCCAUUGAUCCCAGUGCUCCCAGUGCUCCCAUUGCUCCCAUUGAUCCCGGUGUUCCCAGUGCUCCCAGUGCUCCCAUUGAUCCCAUUGCUUCCGGUGUUGCUCUGGAGCUGCUGCCAUAGACACCAGCAUGGCCGAGCGCCGCCCCCCAGCGCCCCCCCAGCCGCAGCCGCCCGUGCCCAAGCC